AGCUGAAUGAGUGUCCUAACUUGAUUCUUAGAGCAGGCUGUCCCAAGUCAGGGUGGAGGGGGCGGCAUCACUGAGCUCUCGGCGCCAUGGUGGCAGUAUGAGCUAUGGCGGCAGUGGAGAGCAGGCAGCCGACCUGCCCGGACUCCAGCCGCAACGCAAUGCCGUAAGGAUCCUGCCUCUCCAGUAUUGCCGCGGUGUGCUUCC
rfam:Procavia capensis cont1.771180, whole genome shotgun sequence.